rnacentral:snoRNA from 1 species
AUGCAAUGGUGCGGACAUUUCACUAAUAUACCCUUAAACCUCUCCUAGGUUUCCUGCAAAGUCUCAGUCGGUUUCUACCUGAACUGCAAUAUCUCAUCAAUUUGCCU